rnacentral:tRNA from 1 species
GCCGAGAUAUUACAAUGGAAGUAUGCCUCCUUAGGAUGGUGGCGAUCUGAGUUCGAUUCUCAGUCUUGGUC